rnacentral:lncRNA from 10 species
GCAGGUUGGGUUUCCUGGGAAACAGACUGAAAUUGAGAUUUCUAGGCAGGUGUCAGCUGAAGGAGAGGCAAGUUUGCAACACUGCUGAGCUAUGAUCGUACCACUACACUCCAGCCUGGUGACAGAGCAAGAUGCUGAAAAAAGAAAGAGGAAAGAGAAAGAAAGAAAGAAAGAAAGAAAGAAAGAAAGAAAGAAAGAAAGAAAGAAAGAAAGAGAGAAAAGAGAAUUUCUGUGACCUCAAAACAGGUAGAGAUUUCUCCCCAGCAAGCAAGCAAGCAGUUUUGCAGUGUAUGCCAGCAGAGUGUCCUCUAAUUCAAUUGCAACAUCGUCUACCUGGAGAUAGUGUCAGAUCCCACAGGUUGAGAGCUAGGUCCCCAAGACUGCCCCCAUCUUCAGAAAAAUGUUGUAAAUCCAGGCCUCUGGAACUUCUGACCAACAGGCUUCAAACUGGGGUUCCUAUGCCACCCACUUUGGUUUUGAUUAAUUUACUGGAGCAGGUGACAGAACUCAGGGAGACACUUAUUUGCAUUUACCAGUUUAUCACAAAGGUUAUGAAAAAGGAUAGAUUAAUAUAUGCUUAGAGUGAGGUAUAGGGAAAGAAGCACAGAGCUUCCAUGCCUGCCCUGGCCACGCCACCCUUCAGGAACUUCCACUUGUCCAGCUAUUCAGAAGCUCUCCAAACUCUGUUGCCUUGGGCCUUUUAUGGAGACAUCAUUGGGUAGGAGUGACUGACAGUCAUAUAGAAAUAUGACUGGACAAAAAGGUAUGACCUAAACCCAGCAAGAUCUGUCUGUACAGAUUCUUCUUGGCAUUUCUGUGCAGCAUUCCUUCCUCCAGGAUAUGGAGCAAGACACCCUCUGGAAUGAGGGUCUUAUGACCCAUAGUCAGAUUAGAGUCCUGCCUUAGGUAAAAGGAGGGCAGGAAAAAGUCACAGAGAGAGAUUCCGUUUCUAAGACCUGCUUCUGAUGCCUCAAGUGCCCCAACAUUAUAAAAACCUAUACAUGUGUAUAAUAUCACACUGA